GUACAACAAAACCUCCACAAUGAACGGAACUACUUCCUCAUCUGAGAGCUACACCUCUAANAAUUAAAAUAUUAACAUAAAAUGAUCCAUUUUUGAUCAAUGAACCAAGUUACCCUGGGGAUAACAGCGCAAUCCAUUUCAAGAGCCCCUAUCGACAAAUGGGUUUACGACCUCGAUGUUGGAUCAGGGUAUCCUGGUGGUGCAGCAGCUACUAAAGGUUCGUUUGUUCAACGAUCAAAACCCU
rnacentral:rRNA from 1 species